rnacentral:rRNA from 1 species
CACUGGAUGGACUAGGGGGCGUUCACCGCCUACCAAACCCCAAACUCAAACUCCGAAUGCCGGCGCACAACUGAUAGGAGUGAGACUGCGGGCGACAAGGUUCGUAGUCGAGAGGGAAACAGCCCAGACCGUCAGCUAAGGUCCCGAAAUACCGCUGAGUGUGAAAUGAUGUGUGAUGGCGAAGACAGCCAGGAGGUUGGCUUAGAAGCAGCCAUUCCUUAAAAGAGUGCGUAAUAGCUCACUGGUCGAGUCAUGACGCGCAGAUAAUGUAACGGGGCUAAGCGGUAUACCGAAGCUACGGGUUCAUACAGCGAUGUAUGGACGGUAGGGGAGCAUUCCACGGACCGAAGAAGGUAGCCUGGGAAGGAUACUGGAGGGAGUGGAAGGGAGAAUGCAGGUAUAAGUAUACGAAAAGAGGGGUGAGAUCCCCCUCCGCCGAAAGCCUAAGGAUUCCUGGGUAAAGGUCAUCUGCCCAGGGUAAGUCGGCCCCUAAGGCGAGGACGAAAGUCGUAGUCGAUGGGAAACGGGUUAUUAUUCCCGUACCUUGGUAAGUUUUGAGGGGAUGACGCAUGAGGUAAAGCCUGGCCGGGGGACGGUAGUCCCGGUCGAAGCCGUGAGUGGGGGUAUAGGCAAAUCCGUACCCGGAAAAUGAGCGGUGACAGCGAGUGGAGCUACGGCAAAGCGAAGCGGGUGGAGCCAGGGUGCCAAGAAAUAAUCUCUAAAGGUAGGCUUACUAAGACCGUACCGGAAACCGACACAGGUAGGCGGGAUGAGGAAUCUAAGGCGCUCGAGAGAACUCGCGUUAAGGAACUCGGCAAAAUGCGCACGUAACUUCGGGAGAAGUGUGGCCGACGCCGGUUUAGCGAUAGGUUGGUGGCGGCAGCAUAAAGCAGUCCCAGGCGACUGUUUACCAAAAACACAGGCCUCUGCGAAUCAGUAAUGAGACGUAUAGGGGCUGACACCUGCCCGGUGCUGGAAGGUUAAGGGGAGUGGUUAAUCGCAAGGUGAAGCUAUGAACCGAAGCCCCAGUAAACGGCGGCCGUAACUAUAACGGUCCUAAGGUAGCGAAAUUCCUUGUCGGGUAAGUUCCGACCCGCACGAAAGGUGUAACGAUCUGGGAGCUGUCUCAACGCGAGACUCGGUGAAAUUUAUGUACCGGUAAAGAAGCCGGUUACCCGUGGUUAGACGGAAAGACCCCGUGAACCUUCACCGUAACUUAUCAUGGGGACUUGAUGCGGCAUGUGUAGGAUAGGUGGGAGACUGGGAAGCAU